rnacentral:ncRNA from 2 species
AAUAAAAUAAGUUUUAAAGGUGUUUUUACUUAAUAGGGAAAGUGGUGAAAAUCCACUACAGCCCCCGCUACUGUAAAUGUGGACAAUCCCAUAAAAAAGCCACUGUCAUUUAGAUGGGAAGGAUAUGGGAGAGGAUGAAACAUGAGUCAGGAGACCUGCCUUGAAAUGAUAGUUACC